CUAUAGAUGACUGAGAUUUAAGUGUUAGAUUUUUAAUCUAAAAACGACACGUUGUUGUCUCUAUGGU
rnacentral:tRNA from 1 species